rnacentral:rRNA from 1 species
ACAGUUGCUAAGACAGGAUAGGAAAUUAAGAGGCAUCUUUUAAUUUUUAAAAGACCUUUUUCGAAAGGUAUACUUAAAGAGGGGCUUGCGCCACAUUAGUUAGUUGGUAAGGUAAAAGCUUACCAAGACGAUGAUGUGUAGCUGGACUGAGAGGUCGAACAGCCACAUUGGGACUGAGACACGGCCCAAACUCCUACGGGAGGCAGCAGUAAGGAAUUUUUGGCAAUGGAGGAAACUCUGACCGAGCGACGCCGCGUGAACAAUGAAGUACUUCGGUAUGUAAAGUUCUUUUAUUGAAAAAGAAAAAAUAGUGGAAAAACUAUCUUGACAUUAUUCAAUGAAUAAGCCCCGGCUAAUUAUGUGCCAGCAGCCGCGGUAAUACAUAAGGGGCGAGCGUUAUCCGGAAUUAUUGGGCGUAAAGGGUGCGUAGGCGGUUUGAUAAGUCUAUAGUUUAAAUGCAGUGCUUAACGCUGUAGCGCUAUAGAAACUGUCUGACUAGAGUUAGAUAGAGGCAAGCGGAAUUCCAUGUGUAGCGGUAAAAUGCGUAAAUAUAUGGAGGAACACCAGAGGCGUAGGCGGCUUGCUGGGUCUUAACUGACGCUGAGGCACGAAAGCGUGGGGAGCAAACAGGAUUAGAUACCCUGGUAGUCCACGCCGUAAACGAUGAGUACUAAGUGUCGGGUUUCGACUCGGUACUGAAGUUAACACAUUAAGUACUCCGCCUGAGUAGUACGUACGCAAGUAUGAAACUUAAAGGAAUUGACGGGACCCCGCACAAGCGGUGGAUCAUGUUGUUUAAUUCGAAGAUACACGAAAAACCUUACCAGGUCUUGACAUAAUUUUGCGACAUUAUAGAAAUAUAAUGAAGGUUAUCAGAAUUACAGGUGGUGCAUGGUUGUCGUCAGCUCGUGUCGUGAGAUGUUAGGUUAAGUCCUAAAACGAGCGCAACCCUUGUCGUUAGUUGCGACCACGUAAUGGUGAGCACUUUAGCGAGACUGCCAAUGAAAAAUUGGAGGAAGGUGAGGAUUACGUCAAAUCAUCAUGCCCCUUAUGAUCUGGGCUACAAACGUGAUACAAUGGCUGUUACAAAGAGUAGCUGUAACGUGAGUUUAUGGCCAAUCUCAAAAAAACAGUCUCAGUUCGGAUUGAAGUCUGCAACUCGACUUCAUGAAGUUGGAAUCGCUAGUAAUCGCGAAUCAGCAUGUCGCGGUGAAUACGUUCUCGGGGUUUGUACACACCGCCCGUCAAAC